UUGGUUGUCGCUGGCUGUUUAUUCGGCAUGUGCACGCCUUCUCUUUCAUCCACACACACCUGUGCACCUGUGAGACGGAGAGCUAUCGCCCUUUUGCUAGGGUGUUUUUCUCCGUCUGCCAAUACACAAACUCAUAUAUAAUAAUUCGAAUGUAAUCUGAUGUAACGCAUCUAUAAACUAAGUUUCAACAACGGAUCUCUUGGCUCUCGCAUCGAUGAAGAACGCAGCGAAAUGCGAUAAGUAAUGUGAAUUGCAGAAUUCAGUGAAUCAUCGAAUCUUUGAACGCACCUUGCGCUCCUUGGUAUUCCUUGGAGCAUGCCUGUUUGAGUAUCAUGAAAUUAUCAAAACAUACCUUUUGUUGAUUCAACUGGUUCUUGUUUUGGACUUGGAGGCCUUGCGGAUUCACGUCUGCUCCUCUUAAAAACAUUAGCUGGAUCUCGGUGAGCUCGGUUCCACUCGGCGUGAUAAGUAUCACUCGCUGAGGACACUUGUAAAAAAGGUGGCCGGGAUUCGCAGAUGAACCGCUUCCAAUAGUCCAUUGAAUUGGACAAACAUACUUUAUGAUCUGAUCUCAAAUCAGGUAGGACUACCCGCUGAACUUAAGCAUAUC
rnacentral:rRNA from 1 species